AGCAGCCGCGGUAAUUCCAGCUCCAAUAGCGUAUAUUAAAGUUGUUGCAGUUAAAAAGCUCGUAGUUGAAUUUCGGGAUUAGUACGUUGGUCGUGCCUUGGUACGUACUGGUGUAACUGAUUCCUCCCUUCUGACGAACCGUUAUGCCAUUAAUUUGGUGUGGCGGGAAAUCAGGACUGUUACUUUGAAAAAAUUGAGUGUUUAAAGCAGGCUCGCGCUUGAAUACAUUAGCAUGGAAUAAUGAAAUAGGACGUUAAUCCUAUUUUGUUGGUUUCUAGGAUCGACGUAAUGAUUAAUAGGGAUAGUUGGGGGCAUUAGUAUUCAAUUGUCAGAGGUGAAAUUCUUGGAUUUAUUGAAGACUAACUACUGCGAAAGCAUUUGCCAAGGAUGUUUCAUUAAUCAGGAACGAAAGUUAGGGAUCGAAGACGAUCAGAUACCGUCGUAGUCUUAACCAUAAACUAU
rnacentral:rRNA from 1 species